UACGAAGGGGGCUAGCGUUGCUCGGAAUCACUGGGCGUAAAGGGUGCGUAGGCGGGUCUUUAAGUCAGGGGUGAAAUCCUGGAGCUCAACUCCAGAACUGCCUUUGAUACUGAGGAUCUUGAGUUCGGGAGAGGUGAGUGGAACUGCGAGUGUAGAGGUGAAAUUCGUAGAUAUUCGCAAGAACACCAGUGGCGAAGGCGGCUCACUGGCCCGAUACUGACGCUGAGGCACGAAAGCGUAGGGAGCAAACAGG
rnacentral:rRNA from 1 species